rnacentral:snoRNA from 1 species
AUUAAAUGAUGUUUACAAACAAUAACUUUCGUUCUUCUGACAAGCGAACGCUUGACAGCUAAAUUUUGUUUCUGAUUU